rnacentral:misc_RNA from 1 species
UGAUCAUCUUGUGUCAAAUCCUCAAAUAUUGACAUGAUGUCAGUCUUUAAAUGGGCAGGCUCAAUAGUACCAGCAAAUUUUCCCAGGUUUGUUGCUGCAGAUCUACGAACCAUGGGCAUAUCAUCUUGACAUAGCUGACUGUAUAUUGCCCUCAGUUCAGUUUUUAAAGUCUCAGGAGCACUUGGAUAUGCAAUAUGAAACAAGCCACAUGAGGAAACUCGAGCUGUAAACCAUUCACCAGCAGCC